UUUACCUCCGACGGUACAAAAAAUUUCAUUUUCGUUGGUGUGGUGGUAAUAGUCUCGACAUCGUCGUAGUAUUACUACAAGUAGUGCUAUUCAGCAUUCACCGGCGCUCCUUCUUUACUUCAAAAAGUUCUCUCUUCCAAGAUACACGAACACACACUUUUUUUUUAUAUGCCUUCAUCAUCAUCUUACAAUAUUUUCCUCUCUUUUUUUACUUUUGCAAGCAGUAAAAUUAUAUUAUUUAUAUAAAUAUUAGAACUAAAGCGAACACCACGCCGAUAAGGUAAAAAUCAGAUUGAAUAAGGAAGGCUGUUGAUCCCCUGCACUCACAUUAGCUAGAUUAGAAGACAAAAGACUCAUUCCUACCCCUUUCUAAGCUUCUUCUAACUCCCUGAGUAAUGACUUUUCAGUGUUAUUACUAAUAAGUAAUCACCCAAAAUUAUUGAUUCCCUUCCUUCUUAAUCCUUUAAUAAAUAUGUAUAGGACUACCCAAGUCGUUCCUGGACGACUCGAAGGGGGAAUACGAUGAUGGAUGGAUUGGUAAAUGCAAUUUGAUUAACAAUGGGAAUUGAAUAUUUGUUUUGUUAUGAUAAUGUACGACUUCCGACAUAAAAACCCUCAACGUACCUAUAUACACAUUACUAUUAUUAUCCAUGCAUACCUCAAAGUAAUAUGAAUUUAUGUACUUAUUGAGGAACGAAAAACAA
rnacentral:lncRNA from 1 species